GGGAAUUCCCGGCUCCCAGGCCCCAACUGGGAUCCUGACGACGGAAGGGGCUUCGGUUCCCGGGCCCGGGCGCCCCCUGCGGGGAAGGACGAGCACUCGCAGCCGGCCGGCCGCAGGCGCAGGAAGGAGCGCGGAGGACGGGGGAUCGGCCCCACCUGCUCCUCCUCGGGGCGUCCCCGGUCCCGCACGGGAGCCCAGCCUGUGUGUUCCCGGCUCCUGCGGCCCCCUUGCUGGGGGGCUGGGAGGGGCAGCUGCUCCAGAGACUCCCCAGAGUGCCCGGACCCAAGUGCCAGGCGGUGGGCCGGCGCCCAGAGCCUUCUGCUGGCGGCCCGCGGGACACCUGCCACCCUGCGCUCGCCCACGGACACCUGCUCCCUGUACGAGCUGAGCCCGCGCAGGCGCCUCGCGGCUCCCGCCGGCAGUGCCCUUCCGUCCUCCAUGCCCACGUUUUGUCCGAGCCCACAUUAUUAGCAAAGUCCAGCGUCGGUGUCCCCACCGAGGGGAUCAAGUCACGACAGAGCGGACCCUGCGUCCAGGAACGGUGCUGCGGGCUAUUUAAUCGUCAGGCACUCUUGAGAGCUAUGGUAUCACAGUGAAGCUUGUGGUCUCCGUUGAACCGUGUCCCCUAAAGAGGUGUUGAAGCCUUAGCCCGUCCCUGCGAAGGUGACCUUAUUUGGAAAUGCAGUCUUUGCAGAUAUCAUCAGGUUAAAAAGAGGCCAUUACAGUGGGCUAGUCCAGUAUGGCUGGAUCCUUCUAAGAAGAGACACAGAGAGAGACACAUGCAGAGAGAAGACCACGUGAGGACAGAGGCAGAGAUCGCAGCGAUAAGCCUACAACUGUCAUGUCAGAAGUUAAAACAACGAGUAUCCAGCAGCAAAAGAGUUUAUUUGGGAACAGCGCAGGAACUGCCACGUGAAACACACGAACGAUGGGAGACCGUGGACAAGUCUGGUGAGCAAAGGUGGACGCCGACCCUUUAUAGAGGAAAGGGGAGGGAGUAACUGGGAGAGGAUGUUACGAACAAAAGUUCAUUGGAGGAAAAUGGGAGGCCCAGAGUGGUGGCGGCCUCUCAUUGGCUGCAGGUGAUUAAAGUGACAGUGUCUCAUGGGGAUCCCUGGGUAGCUCAGCGGUUUGGCACCUGCCUUUGGUCCAGGGCGGGAUCCUGGAGACCCUGGAUCAAGUCCCACGUCGGGCUCCCUGCAUGGAGCCAGCUUCUCCUUCCUCCUGUGUCGCUGCCUCUCUCUCAUAAAUAAAUAAAUAAUAAAUCUUUUUGAAAAAAAGUGA
rnacentral:lncRNA from 1 species